rnacentral:misc_RNA from 1 species
AUUAAUCAACCUUCAAGCAAACUCAUAAUGGACAAUCAUGCUAUGAGAGAGGGGGUUUAUCUGAAAAUGUAAUUGUACAUACCGAAAUACAUGGUUGCAAGGAAGAAGUUAGAACCAGAUCAGUGGACACAGCUUUGUUUACCAAAGGUGGGACAAGGCCAACUGCAGGUUUAGCUUUUGGCAAUGCUUGUUGGUAGAAUUAUUGAAGGAAUCAUAAAUCUGUGCAGCUGGUGCUUAUUCCUUUUGUUCAAUAUUUAGGAUGCUGCUUUUGAACGCUUAAUCUUCAUUAAAGGCCAACUUCCAAACUUUAUUUUUGAGGAUAAGAUCGAUUUCAAAAGGGAAGAUAAUGUUGAAGAGAUGGGGAAUCGAUCAAUAAUAUAAGAAGUAAUAGUAGAUUCAUGUUGUUCUGCUUGUGUUGAAUGGACUGAAUGACUGAUGGUGUAGUUGGGGUCUAGGAGGUCCAGAAGCAUAUGGACCAUGUAUAAUUGUGACCAUGAUUAGAGCCUUUUGGGUUUCCCAGCCCUGGGUAAAGCCUUGAUCCAAUAGAACUUUCAAUGUCGAGUAGCUUUAUCUCACCAAUAGAAAAAUCCUUUCAUAAACCUAUCUACCUGAUUCAGCCAGGACGCUAAGUUAUACUGCUUUUGAAUCAGCAAAUUAUACAGUCUCCAUUCCAAAAACUCUCCUGAUUCAACUCAUCCAAAUUGUCUAGUCUUUCUAACACCCAUUUUUACAGGGGGAUUUAUUA